AUUCUUAGUUAAGUAUUUUUAGGAUCGAUUCUUAUCUAAUAUGUGUUUGUCUUUGGUUUGGUGAAAUUAACAAAAGAAAAAAAAAAUCGACCGAGGAUUUUUUUCCCCUCUCUUUCAUUUCAAGAGCCGAUCCCAAAACUCUUCGAUUUGGGAGAAUCCAAUCGCCAUCUCCGGCGCUGUUGAUGAAGCCGGAACUCCGCUUCUCGCUGUAACCAGCGUCGACGGAUCCGUUGACUACAGAAGCAAACCAGCCGUCAGAUCUUCCUCCGGUGGCUGGAGAUCCGCCGGAUUCAUCAUCGGUGUGGAGGUUGCUGAGCGAUUCGCUUACUACGGGAUAUCUUCGAAUCUGAUUACGUAUCUGACUGGACCAUUGGGGCAAUCGACGGCGGCCGCUGCCUCUAACCAAGCUCUCUCUCUCUCUCUAUAUAUAUAUAUUAGUCUCUUAGUCUCUUCACAUUCUUCUCUAGAGAUGAGUCUGAAGUUGUAUAGUGGAUUUGAUUGAAACAAACAGGGGCUUGGUUUACUGAGCAAUGAUUCCUUCAUACUGCAAUGCUUAUAAACUACUCUCGUCUUGCUCUCCUCGAUUUCAAGUGAUCAUGUUUUUUAGUGCCCUGUAUCUAGUGGCCGUAGCCCAAGGUGGUCACAAACCAUGUGUUCAGGCCUUUGGAGCGGAUCAGUUUGAUGAAAAGGAUCCUAAAGAGGCUUUUGGGUAUAGAAUUGCACGAUGUUCAAUUAUUUGUCAACACUAUCUGCCUACGGAAAUUGGCUUCUGAACUUUGAAGUUCUCAAUAAUGCGAGGGAUAGAAUUUAUUUGAAAGUGUUUGAUGUGAGCAAUAAUCUGUUGUUUUCUUUUUAAGUCUUAUUUUCUCUUGUUUCAUGUGUUUGCUCUGCUGCUCUUGCAAAACCAUGAUGUCUUGAGUCUUGCAUUAAUUCUGUUUCAAGUAUUUAUGUAACUUUGUUUGUUGAUUGCAGGGAGUUGUUGAUUGUAAGUAUCAUAUAUAUAAACUCUCAAAACUUCAUUUGUUGAUUGCUACUAGUGUUAAUCGAUUUAACACUCUUUAUGUUUUGAA